rnacentral:misc_RNA from 1 species
GUGAAGACGUAGCGAAAUGCGAUAAGUAAUGUGAAUUGCAGAAUUCAGUGAAUCAUCGAAUCUUUGAACGCACAUUGCGCCCGCCAGUAUUCUGGCGGGCAUGCCUGUUCGAGCGUCAUUUCAACCAUCAAGCCCCAGGCUUGUGUUGGGGACCUGCGGCUGCCGCAGGCCCUGAAAACCAGUGGCGGGCUCGCUGUCACACCGGGCGUAGUAGAUUUUAUCUCGCUCAGGGCGUGCUGCGGGUUCCGGCCGUUAAAAAGCCUUUUUUACCCAAGGUUGACCUCGGAUCAGGUAGGAAGACCCGCUGAACUUAAGCAUAUCAAUAAGCGGAGGA